rnacentral:rRNA from 1 species
GAUGAACGCUGACAGAAUGCUUAACACAUGCAAGUCAACUUGAACUUCGGUUUGGGUGGCGGACGGGUGAGUAACGCGUAAAGAACUUGCCUCACAGAUAGGGACAACAUUUGGAAACGAAUGCUAAUACCUGAUAUUAUGAUUAUAUGGCAUCGUAUAAUUAUGAAAGCUAUAUGCGCUGUGAGAGAGCUUUGCGUCCCAUUAGCUAGUUGGAGAGGUAACGGCUCACCAAGGCGAUGAUGGGUAGCCGGCCUGAGAGGGUGAUCGGCCACAAGGGGACUGAGACACGGCCCUUACUCCUACGGGAGGCAGCAGUGGGGAAUAUUGGACAAUGGACCAAGAGUCUGAUCCAGCAAUUCUGUGUGCACGAUGAAGUUUUUCGGAAUGUAAAGUGCUUUCAGUUGGGAAGAAAAAAAUGAAGGUACCAACAGAAGAAGUGACGGCUAAAUACGUG